ACAUUUCAAUCCAUGGAGCCCUUGUCGCAGACGACUGCAGCAAAUGACCCUUUACACAACAAGAUUGUGUCUGGAGAAUGUAAGAAGGCCAUUAAGAAACUUUAUCACACAAUCAAAAAACACCAUCUGUACUGGGAUGAGGUAAA